rnacentral:rRNA from 1 species
CGGGGGGCUGCAGUCAAGAAUCUUCCGCAAUGGGCGAAAGCCUGACGGAGCGACGCCGCGUGCAGGAUGAAGGCCUUCGGGUCGUAAACUGCUUUUCUCAGGGAAAAAUUUCUGAUUGUACUUGAGGAAUAAGGGACUGCUAACUUCGUGCCAGCAGCAGCGGUAAUACGAAGGUCCCAAGCGUUAUCCGGUGUUAUUAGGCGUAAAGCGUCCGCAGGUUGUUUAGCACAUCUUUGGUCAAAUCCCACGGCCCAACCGUGGAACUGCCAAAGAGAUGGCUAAACUAGAGACAGGGAUAGGCAUGUGGAAUGGCUGGUGUAGGAGUAAAAUCCGUUAAUCUCAGCUAGAACACCAAAUGCGAAGGCAGCAUGCUGGAACUGUUCUGACACUCAUGGACGAAAGCGUGGGUAGCGAAUGGGAUUAGAUACCCCUGUAGUC